UGGGGAAUUUUGGACAAUGGGGGAAACCCUGAUCCAGCCAUCCCGCGUGUGCGAUGAAGGCCUUCGGGUUGUAAAGCACUUUUGGCAGGAAAGAAACGUCAUGGGUUAAUACCCCGUGAAACUGACGGUACCUGCAGAAUAAGCACCGGCUAACUACGUGCCAGCAGCCGCGGUAAUACGUAGGGUGCAAGCGUUAAUCGGAAUUACUGGGCGUAAAGCGUGCGCAGGCGGUUCGGAAAGAAAGAUGUGAAAUCCCAGAGCUCAACUUUGGAACUGCAUUUUUAACUACCGGGCUAGAGUGUGUCAGAGGGAGGUGGGAUUCCGCAUGUAGCAGUGAAAUGCGUAGAUAUGCGGAGGAACACCGAUGGCGAAGGCAGCCUCCUGGGAUAACACUGACGCUCAUGCACGAAAGCGUGGGGAGCAAACAGG
rnacentral:rRNA from 1 species